rnacentral:rRNA from 1 species
UACGUAGGCAGCAAGCGUUGUUCGGAGUUACUGGGCGUAAAGAGUCUGUAGGCGGUGCUCUAAGUUUGGUGUGAAAUCUCCCGGCUUAACCGGGAGGGUGCGCCGAAGACUGGGGUGCUGGAGUCUGGGAGAGGAAAGCGGAAUUCCUGGUGUAGCGGUGAAAUGCGUAGAUAUCAGGAGGAACACCGGUGGUGUAGACGGCUUUCUGGACCAGUACUGGCGCUGAGAGACGAAAGCGUGGGGAGCAAACAGG